AAAAGCUGGGUUGAGAGGGC
rnacentral:ncRNA from 8 species